rnacentral:rRNA from 1 species
UAAGCGUGCGCAGGCGGUUAUGUAAGACAGAUGUGAAAUCCCCGGGCUCAACCUGGGAACUGCAUUAGUGACUGCAUAGCUGGAGUACGGCAGAGGGGGAUGGAAUUCCGCGUGUAGCAGUGAAAUGCGUAGAUAUGCGGAGGAACACCGAUGGCGAAGGCAAUCCCCUGGGCCUGUACUGACGCUCAUGCACGAAAGCGUGGGGAGCAAACAGGAUUAGAUACCCCAGU